ACACACACCCAUUCACACACACUCCAGUCAAGUAGCCCUGAGGAAGCUCUACAUUUGUCUGAGCAUGCUGGCUCAACACAAAGGUCUUCAUUGAAGAAAGAGGCACUUGUCAUUAUUAUAGUGAGCUUCAUGACAGUGGACCCAUUGAAGGAACACCCCGCUGGCCACUUUCUCACUACCUUCAGUAACAAUACUUUUACAGCAUUUAUUAAUCUUGGCUAAUGUUAAUUUCUACAGUUUCUAUUAAAAUAUUAUUAACAUUUAAAGUUUUUUUUUUUUUUUUUUUUUGGUGUCAUGAAGCAUAAGCAUUUAUUAAUCGAGAUCAGGGGUGCCCAAUCCUGUUCCUGGAGAUCUACCUACCUGCAGAGUUCAGAUCAAACACACCUGUCUUUAAUUAUCAAGUGCUCCUGCAGAUCUUAAUUAGAAGGUUCAGGUGUGUUUGAUCACGGUUGGAGCUGAACUUUGCAGGAUUUGGUCAGGAUUUGAAUUUUAAAUGAACAUCGUUCUCCAGAGGGUGUUUAACAUCCUGUACAGCAGCCCUGGUGUAUCUGGAGUGAACUGCAGAUCUUCAGUCAUCAAGGAUAAAGACGCUGGGAAUAUCUAGUGCAAACAACCUGCGGUGUGUCACUCAACACAACAGUGUGCGGAUUAUUUUUUCAGCAUUUAUCUUGCCAUCACUUCAUAAUCAGAGAGCUACUGAGAAUCAAAAAUCACAGCGUAAUGCUGUGGCCUGCAGGCAGAUGUACAGGAGCCGUGAGAGACAUCUCCAUUCUGAGGCUGUAGAACCUCUUCCUGUUUGACACACUGCAUGCAGUCUGAGGAGUCCGGACCCACACAGACCCUACAGGACGCAUGACACCCUGCAUAGAGAAGGAAAUGUGUUGAAAAGAGUUAAAAAUAAAGUUCAUACACACAUGCACACA